GGAAAAGCCAUCUGGAAAUCUAACUCAUAGAGAUUCGACAUGACUUUGCUUUAAAGUGGUUGGCGUUACCAUAGGCUAAGAAGGGACCCGUAUGCAUGAUUGGGUGCAUGUGGAAUCGAAAUAAUCAAAUAACACGAGGUGAAUCAUGAAAUUAUCAACACGCUGCUUCCGAGAGAACAUAUCGAUCAGACAGAACCGUUUCUUAGUACUGCACAUUGCAGAUGAAAUCAUCUGUGUGUUUCUGUGGCAGUACCUACCUAGCAUUUACGUGGAAACCACCCUUCUGCACUCGAACCGGUCAUAAAUUUGCGCAAACCCGUUGUUCCCUUGACGUGCAUAUCGCCGUUAAAUGGAUUCAACCGGAUCGUUGUUUGGGGCCGUACAUUUAGCUGCUGCUGCUGCUCUACAAGGAAACUGCUGAAGCGACUCUGUGCCGAAACAGACGAUUGGUUGAACGGUUCGGGGGCAGAUUGCGAGUGGAAGCAAACUUAAUAACAAUAACAAUACAGUGGCUCCGUGAAGUCAAGCGAUCCGCGAGCAGUGGUGCUGACGACGAGAGCGAACGGGAGGUAUUUAAACAAACUCAUCGCUUCGAAAUGGGAACGCUUUGAUAGAUCAAUCAUAAGCUUGAAUGGAUUGCAAAUUUGCGAAAUAAAAAAAAGUGCACCUAUGGAGAAUGAAUUGCGAACCUUGCACAUCAGCCAGACAGACAAGCGCAAUUUAGCGGUCGUCGUGGCGGCAACGGAACUGAGUUGAACGGUGAGUUGAUUUCACCUGCUUAUGAGAGAAAAAAAAAACGCUUUCAAUCAACUUAA